rnacentral:rRNA from 1 species
CAUAGGUUAAUGAGGCGAACCGGGGGAACUGAAACAUCUAAGUACCCCGAGGAAAAGAAAUCAACCGAGAUUCCCCCAGUAGCGGCGAGCGAACGGGGAGCAGCCCAGAGCCUGAAUCAGUGUGUGUGUUAGUGGAAGCGUCUGGAAAGGCGCGCGAUACAGGGUGACAGCCCCGUACACAAAAAUGCACAUACUGUGAGCUCGAUGAGUAGGGCGGGACACGUGGUAUCCUGUCUGAAUAUGGGGGGACCAUCCUCCAAGGCUAAAUACUCCUGACUGACCGAUAGUGAACCAGUACCGUGAGGGAAAGGCGAAAAGAACCCCGGCGAGGGGAGUGAAAAAGAACCUGAAACCGUGUACGUACAAGCAGUGGGAGCACGCUUAGGCGUGUGACUGCGUACCUUUUGUAUAAUGGGUCAGCGACUUAUAUUCUGUAGCAAGGUUAACCGAAUAGGGGAGCCGAAGGGAAACCGAGUCUUAACUGGGCGUUAAGUUGCAGGGUAUAGACCCGAAACCCGGUGAUCUAGCCAUGGGCAGGUUGAAGGUUGGGUAACACUAACUGGAGGACCGAACCGACUAAUGUUGAAAAAUUAGCGGAUGACUUGUGGCUGGGGGUGAAAGGCCAAUCAAACCGGGAGAUAGCUGGUUCUCCCCGAAAGCUAUUUAGGUAGCGCCUCGUGAAUUCAUCUCCGGGGGUAGAGCACUGUUUCGGCAAGGGGGUCAUCCCGACUUACCAACCCGAUGCAAACUGCGAAUACCGGAGAAUGUUAUCACGGGAGACACACGGCGGGUGCUAACGUCCGUCGUGAAGAGGGAAACAACCCAGACCGCCAGCUAAGGUCCCAAAGUCAUGGUUAAGUGGGAAACGAUGUGGGAAGGCCCAGACAGCCAGGAUGUUGGCUUAGAAGCAGCCAUCAUUUAAAGAAAGCGUAAUAGCUCACUGGUCGAGUCGGCCUGCGCGGAAGAUGUAACGGGGCUAAACCAUGCACCGAAGCUGCGGCAGCGACGCUGAUGCGUUGUUGGGUAGGGGAGCGUUCUGUAAGCCUGUGAAGGUGUGCUGUGAGGCAUGCUGGAGGUAUCAGAAGUGCGAA